UAGGGUUCCGGCCUUCUCCCGUUUCCUCUCUCCGCUCGAUAUCGAUGAAGGCUAUCACGAGUGCAAGGGGCGCUCGGCCUUAUUAAACCUAACCCCUUUCUCUCACAGGGGCAAUCGAUCCCUGGCCCGUGUCGCCGGACAGGUCUCCGUUCUCCUUCCCGGCCAGUGCCGGAAAGUCCAUCUCCGCGACCGCUGCUUCGAAACGCUCUUUGAAAAACGGAUUUCACCUUUCCAGGUGCCGGAUUCUGGGGUUCAGGUACCUCCUUGGAGUUAGUGUCGAGGGCCGUCUUUUUCAGCCUCGUUUUCUCCAAGCAAACAGGAAAAAGAAGACGAUCUAUCUUUGAACUGAUUAAGGUGGAUGUUCCAACUGGUAUUUGUGUUGAUUAUUUGACAGAGGAGUUUGUUCGUAUGAUGAUGUAAAUCAACUAUUAAUGAAGUGUCCUCAAACGUUAGUUUGGAUCCUGGAUUGGUCUGUGACGAAAAUUUUAAAAAUCAUGGAUAUUUUGAGGGGCGUGACAGUAACAAUGCCUGCAACUCAUCAUCAAGAGACAUUUUCAUAGAGGAUAACUGGUUACUUAUCUCAAACCAACUGAAUGCCUCACAGCUAGUCUCCGACAUGGUCUUCAAAUUAUUGGCAGUGGAGCAAGUCUUGGUAGGAUCCAUCAGGUGAGAAAUGGCACUUGAAGCAAGCUGCUGAAAUUAUGCAGCUAAAUUGUUUAUGCUCGACUUCCACCUUGAGUUUUGUACUGAGUUUAAUGUUUGUUAUGUUCCAUAUGAUUGUGGAUGUGGUAGGUCCAACAAUAUAAACAUGAACAAGAAUGCAAUGUAAUUGUUGCUCAAACCCUUGAGGGUAAAAUCUAUCAGAUUGAGACUUUUAUGGAUUAAGUGAAGAGUUUAUUGUGCUUGUGUAUGAACAUAAGGUUUUACCAAUCCUUGAUCCUAUGUUUGACAUUUUUUUAUCUCUUUAGUUGUCUUACCAAGAUUUUCUAUCUAAACUUUCUUACUAGUACUAAAAAUUCUAUGCAAACUAUAGCUUCUUGAAGAAAAAUACGAGAAUCAUCCAGAGGUUUUAUGGGUAAAUAUUGAACUGAAAAGGGUGCCGGAUGAGCUUGAUGGCUAUGUUGCAAAUUUGCAAUGCUACAUGGUUUCCUUUUCUUCUUCUGAAUUGACUCCUUGCUCCUCUCAGCACAACAUCUGAGUUGGUUAAAGUGCUGAUAAUAAAGUUGAAGCAGGGAGGACUAGUUGGACAGAAAAAGCGAGCAACUGUUCUCUUGUUGAAGAACUUAGGCUUGCAUUUGAAGCAAGUUGUUCUUUGGCUGAAAAGUUGAAAGUAGAACCUGAUCCUGAGAAAAAAAAAAUGUGCCAAGGAGCUGAAAGAGUCAGUACAAACAACAAUGCAGGAUCGUAACCAAAUUUUAGGACAGUAUGCGGAACUUCAGGAGAAGCAUACUGCACUUGUUUCAAGAAAUCAGUAAAUCAGCAAUAGAAUUGAGGAUGCAAUCGGAGCAGCAGCAAUAGCUGGUAUCAAGGGAGAUGAAUUAAAGUUUAUUACUUCUCCUGCAGCUGAAGUUUUAAUCUUAAAAUCAGAAAGAGAGAGGGAAAGGUGACAAUGGAAGGAUGAAAAUAAAACCCUUCAAUCAACUGAGAGACACUGCUGAAGCUCUACAAACUGCCAGAGAUUGUGCGGCUAAAAGGAGCAGAGGAAGCUGCUGCAAUUGGUGAGAAAGAGCAUUAUUGGCAGAGGAGACAGAGAAGGCAAACCAAGAGAUAGAUUAGUUGAAGGAUUAUGAUAUGAGAAGUUGUUUUACUGAAUCAGAUACCUGCAGAAUCAUGUUCACAAAGAGAAGCCCUUGGACACAUUGAAUUUGAUGAUUCUGAAGUGGCCAAAUCUGAUAAGGGAAAGCAUGAGUAGAGCUAUAUAGAGGAGUUUGAACCCUUCUGCUAGGGAGGGGAUACCGAAUUGUCCAUAGAUUAUAAUUCAUGGUUCUCUGGUGAUGAUCAGCGCAAUAUUUAAAAUCUUAAAGGAUGUCCCAGCAAUAUGUUUGUAUUACUAGGAGAAGUGUUGCACAACACCUCAAACGUUGGUAACAUAGCACUUAUAUGUUCUGUAUCGUUCCUAUAUACAGUUUCUGGAUUUCACCAAUUGUGCUAGUUCUGUGAAAUUGCAUCUGGAACAACUUCCAUUCCUGCACGGUAAUAAUAAUCAGGUAUAGUUCUAUGGUUUUAGUUUUAGUUUAUAAUCUGCACAUGUUUUUAAUAAUUCUAGUAAUGCAUGAGUUUAUGCUUAGCAAUGUUUGUGCUUACUACCAGGUGCAAUACAAAUCCUAUUAUAUUAGGUGGCGUAUCUUCACUUAUUUCAUUACCUGUCAACCUAUUACUGAACAUUUCUUCUCAGAAAAUUCAUUUCUUUACUUUCUGGCUAAUCAUGGGUUAAAUUUAUUUCUGUGGUUAUUCACUUUUUGAUUUGAAAACAACCUUAAUGUAGAUCUGAGGCUAGUUAGCUCAGCAGAAAUGAACAGUGGUAGAUGAUGUUAUUGCUUUGUAACUUAAUUAUUGUGUGUUUCUUUUGGGGUGUUACAGUAGGCAA